rnacentral:lncRNA from 1 species
UUUUUUUUUUUUUCCUCUCUAAAAGACAGGACAGUAACCAAUUAUAUAUACCUGUCUACAUUAACAUUUAAGUACUCCACAACAGAAAGCAACGAGCAAGCAAAAUAACACAUCUUUCUUCUUGAAUUUGAUCAUUCUAUCUCAAUGGGAACCGUAGAGACAGAGGGGCCGCCAAGCAAAGAACUAACAGUGGCGACCGAAGAUCCCGCAAUAGAAGAAGAGGAGAUGUCCCCAAUAGAGCAAGUUCGGCUAACAGUGCCCACCACAGACGACGCAUCACUCCCAGUAUGGACUUUCCGCAUGUGGUUCCUUGGUCUCUUCUCCUGCGCUCUUCUAUCUUUCCUCAACCAAUUCUUCUCUUAUCGCCAGGAGCCUCUGAUUAUCACCCAAAUCACCGUCCAGGUGGCAACUCUCCCCAUCGGACGGUUCAUGGCCACCCUUCUUUCCCAGGCUAAGUUCCGUAUUCCUGGAUUUGGGUCCAGAGAGUUUUCUCUUAACCCCGGUCCCUUUAACAUGAAAGAGCAUGUUUUGAUUACCAUAUUUGCAAAUGCUGGAAGCGCUUUCGGGAGUGGCUCAGCUUAUGCCGUUGGUAUUGUGAAUAUUAUCAAGGCAUUUUAUGUAAAGAACAUCUCUUUCUACUCAGCCUGGAUUCUUAUAAUCACUACCCAGGUAUCAGCUUUCAGCAUCACCUUUCUUCUACAUUUUAAUCCCGUCAUUAAAUUAAUUAAAACUACAAGCAAAACAUUUUAUUAUUAAUUAUAAUUUAAGUACCUGGUUCAUAGGAAACUUUUCUAACUCGGACUUAAAAUCUCGAAAGAGUUGACAAUACUAUAAAUAGGAUUUUACUACAGUGUGAACGGUUUGAUAACGUUGUGAAAGUUCGUCCAUUUUUUUUUUAAAUUCAUUCUAAAUUUUAAUAAAAUUCAAAAUUCCAAGAACAACUCACUAUGUUAAAGGCAAACCUGCUAAUUAAUCAAAUAGCCCCUAAUGGUAUUUAAUUUUGGCCAAGAUAUUUUUUUGUAUCUUAUGUAUUUACUGGGAACAAUUACUAAAAAUCUCAAUAAAAUUAUUGAAAAAAUUUAAUAAUUUGCAUGAAGCAUACAAAGUUGUGUGUGUGUGUGUGUGUAUCAUGCUGGUGUUAUUUCUUAGGUAUUGGGGUACGGAUGGGCGGGACUACUGAGGAAGUACGUGGUGGAGCCGGCACAUAUGUGGUGGCCUAGUACCCUUGUUCAAAUCUCCCUGUUCCGGUAUGCUUCAACUUUUAUUAUUAUCACGUAUUAUUACUUUUAAGUAUUCUUCUUUAUCUUUUUAUGAUGAAUAAAAACAAGUAGUUUACAGUUCAUUUUAAUUUGUUUAACAUAAAUGCGUUGUUUUCGUAAUUAAAUAAUAGUAUUUUUCGAGGCCCAUUACAGCUAUAUCCCCAAUGAAGUUCAAUAUUCAAGAAUUUCCCCUAAGCUUUUAAUUUGUCUUCUACAAUACAUGCGAACAGUAUAUACCAGCCGUGAGCUGGGAUUCUGCAGGGUUCAAUUCAUGCAUGGCUAUUGGCUACUAGUCGGGUCCCAGUGAGAAUCUCGUUCAUGAACGACAAAACAAUAAAUCCAUAUGAAUCAAUAUCAUUGAAUUUGUUUGAAAUGAGCUAAAUUAACAUAACAUUGUAUCAUUGAUUUAUCAAAAGAUUAAAGAUUAAAUUUUAAUCGGCAGAUACUGAUUUUUUAAAAGCAGCCUCAUCCCACUCGCAUGAUUUCAAACUUUCAUUAAAUAAUAAUAAUAAUGAAGGAGAGGAGAGGAGAGGAGAGGCCAUCAUUUUUAUUUUAUUUUAUUUUUAUUAUUUAUAUGUAAACUUUCCAAUCCGAAUUUAAAAUUCAAGAAGAAUUAACAACUUUGUAAGCAGCCUUUUCACAACAUUACAAACUAUUUUACAAGGUUUUGAAACAGUAAAAAAAGAGUAUCCGUCCUAGAUUUAAAAAAAAAAUUGGAUUCCUAUAUAUUAAAGUCUAGAAUAAGAUUAAAAAAUAUAUGAAUUUUAAUACAUUACAGGAUAAAAUAUACUUUAUGAGAGUCUGUAUUUUUUGUUUUUAACUUCUUAUUGAUUUUAAUACAAUUAAAGAUACUUGAUUGAAAAAUUAUUUUAUAUAUAAGUUAUUAAAGUAAGGAAUAAGCAAAAAGACAAUAAAAACAUAUAUUUCAAUACAUUAUAAAAUAAAAUACACAGUAUUAUGAUAUGUGUUUUGCUUGUUUUUUAAUUUAUCUCGUAUUUUAAUAACAUAAAGAGAUCCCUUAUAAAUAAUAAUUCUCUCUCUCUCUCUCUCUCUCUAUAUAUAUAUAUAUAUAUAGAAAGAGAGAGAGAGAAUUCUUCUUUAAUGAGAGUAUAUUCACUUUGUUAAAGUAAAAACGUUGUGUUUUUAAGAAUGUUGUGUUUUUUUUUUGUCAAUGAUUGGCAUCCUCACUCAUCAAAGAAAAAUUGUAUAUAUCACGCCCUCAGUUUUUAAGAUGUAGAUAUGAGAUUUUAUAAUAUUUUAAACUAUUGAAAUAUUAGCUUAUAACAUUACAAUAUUUAAAAUUUUGAAUCUAUAUAUAUUUUAAAAAAUGUGGACAUCUAUGCUAGAGAAAGAAUAUAUAUAUAUGUGUGUGUGUGUGUGUAAAUUUUGAUUUAUAGUAAGUCCUUCUUUUACAAUUUUCAAAGUGUUAGCCUAUAUACAUCUCUGACGCCAAUUUACUUUCAAUCACUGCCCUUAUUCUAUGUAGAAACUUUUAGAUGGAUUCCAAAAUGCCAGGUUAUCAAUAAACUCCAUUUUCAAAUUGUUUUUAAUACAUUUACAAGCACACAAUGGCAUCCAUUGUGGGCGUCCAUAUUAUAAUGAGCAGAUUUACACGAUGAACAUUGUUCUAUAUGUGUGCAUGUGAUGCUAUCAAUAUCUACAUAUGUACGUCCUCCAUAAAUGCGUGCUGGCAGAGCUCUUGUUCAUUGCUUGAAUUUCAUCUUGUUAAGAUCUUGUUGUAUUCACGUGGAAGAACUUGCAUGAUUCGCCUUAUGAUUUGUUCAUUGAACUUUCAGGACAUUGCACGAGACGGAAGACAAUGUUGGCGGCAAGCGCCAUCUAUCUCGAGUGAAAUUCUUUAUGAUAGCACUAGUUUGUAGCUUCUGCUGGCACUUGUUCCCUGGCUACUUCUUCCAAAGCUUACAAAGCAUCUCGUGGGUCUGCUGGGCUUUUCCGAAUUCAGUUGCAGCCCACCAAAUCGGGUCGGGCCUAAACGGACUCGGGGUCGGGGCGUUAACCCUGGACUGGACAGCAGUUGCGUCUUUCUUGUUCAGCCCUUUAAUAUGUCCUUUCUUCGCCAUCGCAAAUGUCUUCGUAGGAUAUGCCUUUAUUAUCUACGUAGUGAUUCCCGUUGCCUAUUGGGGGCUAAACUUGUACAACGCCAAAACUUUUCCAAUAUUUUCAUCGCAUUUGUACACCGCACAAGGUCCCGAGUACAACAUCACAUUGAUCGUCAAUGACAAGUUUGAGUUGGAUUUGGCAUCGUAUAAGCAACAUGGAAGAAUCCAUAUGAGCACCUUCUUUGCUCUAACCUACGGAUUUGGCUUUGCCACAAUUGCAGCUACACUUACUCAUGUAGCCUUAUUCUACGGAAGGUAAUUAACUUAACUGUCUCUCAAUCCACGCAUUCUUCAAAAUGUAACAGCAUAUUUUUCCAUAUAUAAUGUUAUUUGUAGGGAGAUUUUAGAUCGAUACCGAGCUUCUUCCGAGGGAAAGCAGGAUGUUCACACAAGAUUAAUGAAGAACUACAAGGACAUACCUUCAUGGUGGUUUCAAGUUCUUCUCGUUGGGACAAUUGCAGUCUCUCUUGCACUCUGCAUUUUCCUGAAAAAGGAGGUUCAGAUGCCGUGGUGGGGGCUAAUAUUCGCUGCUGGCCUAGCUUUCAUAUUCACUCUUCCCGUCAGCAUCAUCACUGCCACCACAAAUCAAGUAAGUUAUAGUUUAAGGCUGAAAUUUUGAAACAUUCUAAUUUCCCGGCCCCCUAAAAUAAUUAAGAAUCACGAUUUUGUUCUGUAUAGACACCAGGAUUGAAUAUCAUCACGGAAUACAUAAUGGGAGUAAUAUUGCCAGGGGAACCGAUAGCCAAUGUUUGCUUUAAGACCUAUGGAUAUAUGAGCAUGGCUCAGGCAAUUUCCUUUCUUAGUGAUUUCAAAUUAGGGCAUUACAUGAAGAUCCCACCAAGAUCAAUGUUCCUAGUUCAGGUAAUUAAUUGAUAAUAAUCAAACCCUCUUCUCUGUUUUCCGCAAUCCAAUAGCUAGCAUGAAAUUAAUACAAGCUUGCAUUUGAUCAUCAGUUCAUUGGAACCAUCAUAGCGGGAACAAUCAACCUCAUUGUAGCAUGGUGGCUUUUAAACUCAGUCGAACACAUAUGUCAACCAGGUCUGCUUCCGAAGAACAGUCCUUGGACAUGCCCAAAUGAUCGUGUAUUCUUCGACGCAUCUGUUAUAUGGGGUCUAGUUGGACCAAGGCGAAUCUUCGGUUCUCAAGGAAACUACGGGGCUCUCAAUUGGUUCUUCCUAGGAGGAUUAUUGGGACCAUGUGCAGUGUGGCUUUUACACAAGAAAUUUCCAAAUCAAUCAUGGAUACCCCUCAUUAAUCUUCCAGUCCUGCUCGGAGCAACAGCUUACAUGCCGCCGGCCACAGCUUUGAACUACAACGCCUGGAUUUUGGUCGGAACAAUAUUCAACUUUUUCGUGUUCAGGUAUCGCAAGAAAUGGUGGCAGAGGUAUAACUACAUUCUGUCGGCUGCUUUAGACGCUGGAACGGCGUUCAUGACUGUUCUGCUCUACGUCUCGCUGGGCUUGGAGGGUGUAAACUUGCACUGGUGGGGAUCCAACCCUGAUAUUGACCCAGAGCAUUGUGAUCUCGCAACUUGCCCCACAGCAAAGGGCGUUGCAGUUGAUGGGUGCCCAGUGUUCACUUAAUAUGCUUUUAGUUAAUGUAAUAUAGUAUAAUAUAAUAAUCCUACUUCCCUGUACUCAAAACUAUGUUGGUUUGGCAUUCUUUAAAUAUUAUGAAAAAUCAUUGAACGGUUUUAUUUGUGUCACAGGGUACAUGCCAUAAUUUUUGGGACAAGUUUUGGGAUAUCUUAAUAAUACUGUUUUUCUUUUUAUAUUAAAUCAUCUUAUGAUCGAAAAUCACAUUGUGCCCAAUUCUUCCAAUAAAUAUAUAAUACAGCUACAUUCUCAAAUCUCAAAUCGAGGAUUUUAGUUAAGUUAGAACAACUCCGUAUUGGUUGAUCUAUACGUUUGUUGGUAUUAAUAUUAUUUUUUUAUUUGUAAAUUAAAUUAAUUAAGUCUUAAAGUAUAAAUGUCUGUGUGUGAGAUAAAUGCUAAGUUAAAUUACAUGUAACUUACAACAACUCAAAAAUAAUUACUUAAUAUAAAAGAAUGAUAGUAUGUAAAAUAAGUAGGAAAAUCAGGAUAAAGAUUUAGUGCUGAACUGAGUUUUUUCUCAUUACUGAAUCAAUAGUUAUUAGGUAAGAGAAAUAAAAAAUAAAAACUCAAAAUAAUUUUAACCAUUGAUUCCGUACUCAGCAAAAAAUCAGUUCGUCACUUAAUCUUAAUCCAAGAAAUCAUAAGUAACUACAUUUAGAUUUAUUAAGGUACAUGAAGUAUAACUUAGAAAAACCCCUAUAUAUAACUAUAUGAAAAAGAGGAUGUGUAAACUAACAAGACAAAAUCAUAUAUAUAUAUACACAUCCUCUUUUUCAUAUAAUUCACAUUAUCAGAAAUUCAAUUGUAAUUAAAGUUUAGUUCUCCACGUAUUACGUAACAAAAUACCCUAUUUUUGCUCUUCACGAACUACUACGGAUUCAUAAAUCAUAAUCAAUUCACGCCAAAACGGCAGAGCUAGCUAACUGACUCGCACAGGCUCAUUCACGAUGGACUUUCGCGAUGCAGAAGCGCCGCCGUCGAAACGCAAAGAUCACGAACUGGACGACGAAAACGACGACGUUUCUCCGAUCGAAGAAGUCCGUCUAACGGUGUCAAACGAAGACGACCCGACGCUGCCCGUAUACACAUUCCGUAUGUGGUUCUUAGGCGUAAUCUCGUGCGUCCUCCUCUCUUUCCUCAACACGUUCUUCGCCUACCGUACGGAGCCUCUGCUUGUCACCAUGAUCUCCGUACAGGUGGCAACUCUCCCCAUCGGACGGUUCAUGGCGAGGCUGCUUCCGGAAAAGAAGUUCAGAGUCCCUGGAUUCGGAGAGAAGGAGUUUUCGUUAAAUCCGGGGCCGUUUAACGUGAAAGAGCACGUGCUCAUCUCGAUCUUCGCCAAUGCUGGGGCUGGGUUCGGCAGUGGAGCCGCUUACGCUAUCAGUAUAGUGGACAUUAUAAAGGCCUUUUAUCGACGUAAUAUCAGUUUCUUGGCUGCGUGGAUUCUUGUCAUUACCACUCAGGUUAUUUAUUCAACUUUUUCUUUUUAAUGUUGUUAAAAUUUAGACGUAAUUAUGUAGUCAUUUUUUUUAAAAAAAAGUGAAAAGUUAAUUAAAUAAUACAUUUAAAUGACUAAUCUCUUGUAAGUAGGUUCUGGGGUACGGUUGGGCCGGAAUACUGAGGAAGUUCGUCGUAGACCCGGCGGAGAUGUGGUGGCCCAGUAGUCUGGUUCAGGUUUCUCUUUUCAGGUAAUUAUUGCUCUUUUUUUUUCAAAAAAAGAAAAGUAAAUUUUUAGUGCAAAACGUAGUGUUUUAUUUACCUUAAUUAGUUGCAUGGAUUAAGCGAUAGACUAGACUUGCGGCUACCUGCUCAACAAUGAAUGGUAGAAAAUGUGAAAGCUAGCUCGUUGAUGGCUAAUAAUAACAAUAAUGAUGGAUCUCAAAAUAUUGCCCUUUAAAUAAAUCAUUCCUUUAUUAAGAAAUAUUUUCAUUUUAGCUACAGUUAAGACUACAGUAUCUUUUUUCUCAAUAUAUUUAUUAUUUAGGUACAAAUCUUUGCCAGAUCAUUUUAAACCAAGUUUUGUCACAUGUGAGCGGUUGAGGAUAUUUAUGAUUGCAUUGAUUUUAAGGGUUUAAGACGAUUUUCGUAAGUUCUUCUUUAAUAAUUAGCUCCAAAUUGGAAGCCGGUAAUUUAUAAUUAGUAGUAUGUUUGGAGUUGUUAUAUUUUUUCUAAUCCAAGAAUUUUCUACAAAGUAAAUAUAAAUUCUUUUUAAAAAUAGUUUUAAGCAUUUUUUUUUUCAAAAGAAAAAUUAUAAAUCGUUUUUGUUGUUUUCGAACUUACUUUAUACGAAUUAAAAAAAACACACAUUUAAUUAUUUAAAAAUGAUGUCGCUAACGUCUAAUGCACUUUCAAAGGUACCAAACAAAUAAUAACAUACUCUACUUUCGACAUAGAACUAUGAACCUGUAUAUAUAAUUGUAUUCUUACUGUAGAAAUUGAAAGAAGAAUUUAAUGAAAAGUCCCAUGUUGAUUUUAUUUUACAAUUGAACAGGGCUCUGCAUGAGAAAGACAACAGUCGCAUGUCACGGGGGAAAUUUUUCUUGAUUGUACUUGUAUGCAGCUUCUCCUGGUAUAUAUUUCCAGGUUACCUUUUCCCCACUUUGACUACAGUUUCUUGGGUCUGCUGGGCAUUUCCAAGUUCGAUAACAGCCCACCAGCUAGGCUCAGGCAUGAAAGGACUCGGUCUUGGUGCCUUUGCCCUUGACUGGUCAGUCAUUGCCUCUUAUCUUGGCAGCCCUCUUAUUACUCCAUUCUUUGCAAUUGUCAAUGUCUUUGUUGGCUAUAUCAUUGUGAUGUACGUUUUGACACCAAUAGCUUAUUGGGGUUUCAAUCUCUAUGAUGCCAAAACGUUCCCGAUCUUCUCUUCACACUUAUUCAAUUCAAAAGGACAGAUAUAUAACAUAUCAGCCAUUGUCAAUGAAAAUUUUGAACUAGACAUUCCAAUGUAUGAGCGGCAGGGCCCCAUGCACCUAAGCACAUUCUUUGCCGUUACAUAUGGCAUUGGCUUCGCUGCCAUUAUAUCUACUCUCACGCAUGUGGCCUUGUUUAAUGGAAGGUAAGUAAUCACAGAGACUAGAAUUGAGUGCUUUAGAUUACAUCGGAGCAAUUGUUAUAUUACAUGAAUGGUUGUUCUAACAGGGAGAUAUAUGAACAAAUCCGAGCCUCUACAAGGGGAAAGCAAGAUAUCCACACUAGGUUGAUGAAGAAGUAUAAGGACAUACCAAAUUGGUGGUUUUAUUUAAUGCUUGUUGGAUCGCUGAUACUCUCUCUUGUGCUAUGCAUUUUCAUGAAAGAUGAGGUCCAAAUGCCAUGGUGGGGACUCCUCUUUGCAGCAGCCCUUGCAUUAAUUUUUACCCUUCCAAUCAGCAUCAUAACUGCCACAACCAAUCAGGUGAAAGCAUUGAAUUUUGGCUUGUGCGAACUUUUGCCCUUAGCUUAAAACUCUGUUCAGCAUGAUAAUUGAUUAAUCAAAAGCUAUCUUCUUGUAUAUUUGCAUUGUAUAGUCGAAUAAAAAAGAGGUUUAGAUUAAUACUAACUUUUUUUUUUGGGGUCAUUUUUGUUAAUUCAUUAUUUGUUACUUUUGCUGCAGACGCCGGGAUUAAACAUUAUCACAGAGUACAUCAUGGGUGUUAUAUAUCCAGGUAGGCCAAUAGCUAAUGUCUGCUUCAAGACAUAUGGGUACAUCAGCAUGAGCCAGGCAGUUUCUUUCCUCAGUGAUUUCAAGCUUGGCCAUUACAUGAAGAUUCCAACAAGAGCCAUGUUCGUCGUUCAGGUUUGUACUAAUUUAAUCAGAUAUUUCACUACAAUAUGCAAAAAAAGGUACUCGUGACAGUAAUUAGUUUCUCGAUACGGUUAUGUUUUCAAUUGGAAUGUGUGAUGUCUAAACCCCUUCUGGCUUUUUGUUGUUCAUAAAGUUCAUAGGGACUAUAAUUGCCGGAACAGUCAAUCUAGGGGUGGCUUGGUGGCUGCUAACAACCGUAGAGAACAUAUGUCAAGAUCAACUCCUCCCUCCCAAUAGUCCUUGGACAUGUCCUGGUGACCGCGUAUUCUAUGAUGCAUCUGUCAUCUGGGGUUUGAUUGGACCAAAACGUAUCUUCGGAAGAAUGGGAAUCUACUCAGCUCUCAACUGGUUCUUCCUUUUAGGAACAUUGGGACCUUUCGUGGUGUGGCUGCUGCAAAAAGCAUUUCCCAAGCAUAAAUGGAUUACAUUGAUUAAUCUUCCAGUACUUUUGGGAGCAACAGCCCAAAUGCCACCAGCUACUACUGUGAACUUCAAUUGCUGGAUUGUGGUUGGGACAAUAUUCAAUUACUUCAUAUUCAAGUAUCGAAAGGGGUGGUGGCAAAGAUACAAUUAUGUUGUAUCAGCAGCCUUAGAUGCUGGAUUGGCUUUCAUGGGAGUUCUUUUGUACUUCACACUUACCAUGGAGAACAGAAGCAUAAACUGGUGGGGCUCAGCUGGUGAACAUUGUGAUCUGGCUUCCUGCCCAACUACCAAAGGUGUAGUUGUUGAAGGGUGUCCUGUUUAUUAAAUGUCCUUCCGCUACAAGAUUAAGCUACUUUAGCUGGUGUUAUUAGCUUCAUGAGGCAUCAUUAGAGAAAUUAAAAAAAAAAAAAAAGUAUUCGUAAAUCAUCAGGCUUCUUUCGCUCUCAAGUCCUUUCUUUUAAACUUUUAAGUUAUGUGGAUGUCUGUGAUUAAUCACGAUUGUUAUACAAUUAAUCAUCUAUGGUUAUUUUUUCAGUUCCUGGAUGACGUUCUGUAUAUAUUGCGGAACUCCACAACAAGAUUCAUACUUCUUAAAAGUUAAAUCUACUACAGUUGAAGAAAAUACAAGAUGGUUAAUACAGGUUGAAGGAAAGAAAUAUGCAAGCUUGAAUGAAAAACAUUUCAAGUUGUUGAAGAAAAAUUCACAAGUAAAAUGCAAAACUUUUUAAACAUGUGUGUGUGUAUAGUUUUAUAUUUACAUAUAUAUUGGAAGAUAUAUCGAAAAUGUAUAUUACAACUUUUAGAAGAGACGCACCAAAAAAGUAAGAGAACAUCAUAAAAGAGAUUUCGAAGUUGAUGAAGAUGGAACAGCAUAUCUAGAAGAGAAGCCACGAGACAGAGAAUCAACAUCACCCUCAUCCCAACAGCCAUCAUCGAAGUUCUGAGCAUAGCUCAAAGGAUCAUACUUAAACCCACCGGCUGGUUUUGGAUUCUUGGCCCUGAAAGCUGCUCCUAUAUUAAAACAAACACUUCGCUGCUGAGCACGCCUUCUUGUAUCUCUCCAAAUUCUCGGCUUCCUCCAUGGAAGCUUUAGCUUGAGCCGACCCCAGCAUGAUAGCAGCCCUGUUGCUUCAUCAUCUGUAUUCUUAGGAGAAGAAGAAGUUCUCUCCAUCAUUGCUUUGAGUUUAAGAUGAGAACAACUAUUCGUUUUGCCAACUUGUUGGGGUAUGCCUCUUCUCUCCAUUUGUUGUGGAUUUUGAAUGUGUGGUAGAGAGAAGAUGGCAUUUAUAAGUCGAUAUGGAAUAACAAGUCCCAUUUUGUUUUCGAGGAGAAACGGAAGAUGAGUGAAGAUACAAUUUGUCAUUUGCUUGCCACAUAGCGAAUCUCCGCCUGUAUAAUUACAAUGCAUGAUAAAUGUAGUAAAUAUCAUUUGCACCAUUCCGCAGUGGACACACGUCGAAUAAUACAAGAAUCUCUGUAGAGGACAAAAUAUACGUGCAGCUGUUAUAUCCAAAAGGGAACUGGAUUUAUAAAAAAUGUCAGUAAGCUGAGCUAGCUCAGUGCGAAUAUAUUAACUCAUGUUGGCUUUAAAUAUAAGAGGUCGGCUUCAUCUUUAAUCUUUACUUUGAGAAAACAACAGAAAACCGAAAGCUUAAAAUGAUAGAUACCGAAUUUUUACUACUAAACUAUCAGUUGCUAGACAAAACAUACUCAUUAAAGAUAGUGAUUUUAACUUGGGAUGCAAUUCUUAAACUCCCAAAGGGCUUCUCAUUGUACAAAGAUAAGAUUCUUUAAAAUUUUCACAUAUGAAGAUGAAAAGAAAAGAUUGAAAAACCUGUAACACCACUGGACGUCAAGGCCAUUAUGAAACAAAAUGCCUAAAAAUACAUAUACAUAUCCAAGUCAGCUAGAGUUUGUUAACUAAUGUCAUUCCAUCGAAGUCGUCCCCGAGCAAAUAGUGAUACUGCAACACUGUUUUUACAUUUCUCCCUUCAGAUAUUCCCAGGUUCAAGCAAACAAAGGAGCAUGUGCGUUUGAUGCUAUAGAAUUACUGGAAGCUUACAGAAAGAAUAUCCAUGGACUGCAGUAUUGAUGCCAUUCAGAAACUGUGCAAUUGUGUAAACGUGCUUAUCAUUCCAAGCUCAUUCAUUCGCAUAGACCUACAUUUCCAUCUUUGAUCAUCCAUUUGGAUGACACCUAUUAAUUCAUCCUACACUUGGUUUUCAUUGCAGAUAAAUAAACAUAAGAAAUCAUGCCUCAACAGAACUAAACUUAUUGCUUUGUGACUGGCUCAAGUCAGAGGCUCCGUAUAACAACAGCAUCUACAUUGGUUUAGUAUAUAUAGCAUAUUUGAUUUUUAUCAGUAAUGAAAAUGACAGCAGCAAGAGGCAACAAAUUAUUUCCACAAAGAGCGUUUUAGGACAUGAACAAACUACUUAAAGCUUGCAUAGCAAUGCCGAUUCAAAGUGUGAAAGCUUAAAUAAGCAUAGACAAGACAGCAUUUGAGUGGUCAAGUGAGGUAGAAAGUACAAUACAAAAAUUUGAAAAAAGAAGAGGAAAAGUCUACAUGGACUGUCUACCAAAAUUGACCUUGAAUUUCACUCUUUACGAAGAAGAAGCUAAUAUGAGGAAAUUUAUAAGCUCUUACGGACGUAAUUUGCCAGCACUUAAGGCUGAAGAAAUUCAAGGACACAAAUUACCAGUUACCAAUCACCACAGAACAGAAAAUGGAACGGGCCAACAGGCUACAUUUUGACUGCCACCUGUUCUGCUGAGCUUUUCUUCACAACUCCUCUGGAGCACAACUGAUUUAAUAGAUCAAGAGCCUCCUUAGCUAAACCUUCAUAAGCUAUGCCUUCAAUGAGAAUGGUGUAUGUAGCUUCAGUGGGUUUACAACUCCUCGUUACCAUAUCUGCCAAGAUGUCAAUAGCACGAUAGGUCUGCCGAGCCUUACAAAGUCCUAACAUGAUAGAAUUGUAGGUGAUAACAUUAGGCCGGACACCCAAUCUUUCCAAGUCAUGGAAAAGCUUAAUUGCUUCAUCGACCUUGCCUUCUCUACUGAGUCCACCAACAAGUGAAGAGUAGGUAAUGGUAUCAGGCUUGAGACCUUUUGUGCGCAUCUCCUCCAAAAGCUUCAUCGCUUGCUCCGUCUUCCCCACCUUUGAGAGGCCAUCAAUCACGGUAUUGUAAGUGAUCAAAACUGGAGAACAAUGUUUGUUACUGAGCUGAUUAAGUAUCUCAACUGCUACAUCAACCUUCCCAUCUUUGCAUAAUGCAGUGAGCAGAGUAUUGUAGGUUACAAUAUCAGGGUAACAACCCCUGGAGACCAUAAUCUCCAAAUACUCAAUUGCUCUGUCCAUUUUCUUCUCCUUGCAGAAACCAUGAAGCACUGGGUUGUAACUUAAGGAAUUGGGAGUACACCCAUGCUUAGGCAUUUUUUCCAGAAUGUCGAUUGCUCGACCCAAUAAACCCUUUCGACACAAGAAAUUAAUCAAGAUGUUGAAAGUGACAACACUUGGGGAGCAACCUUUAUGAACCAUUUCAGCUAAUAGUCUCUCAGCAUCCAUCCACCUCCCAGUGCUACACAUGCUACGCAAAAUAAUAUUAUGUGUUAUCACAUUCGGUUGGCAUCCAUAGGAUGGCAUGUCAUUUAAGAACUUGAUUGCUUCGUCCAACCUUCCUUCCUUACAAAUUCCAUUGACAAGAACAUUAUAAGUAACCACAUCGGGAAUACAUCCUUUGUUCCUCAUCUCAUCUAAGAGCUUCAUUGCCUGACCAACCCCGCUUUCUUUGCAAGUUGCUUCAAUCAAUAUGGUGUAUGUAAUUACAUCCGGAUAACACUCCUUUUCCAAUUGUUUGUGAAGAACUUCCAUGGCAAGAUUUAAUUUCCCACUGUCACACAAAGUUCGCAAAAUAGUGUUAUAUGUAACAACAUCAGGUGCAACACUCAUUCGCUCCAAAACCUGUAAAGCAUUAUCAAUCUCCCCCAGUCUGCAAUACCCACUAAUCAAAACAUUGUAAGUUAUAACAUCAGGAACUGCUCCAGAAUCUUCUACAAUCUCCAUAACUCUUGUGGCCUUCCUAGUUUUACCAACCUUACAAAAACCACGAAUUAAACUUGUGCAAGGGAUUAUAUCAGGAAUAUCACCAUGAUAAACCAUACUCUCAAGAAACUUAAACCCCUCUUCAAGCUCCCCAUUUCUAACCAAUCGACGAAGAUGAUUAUUACUCUCAAAAUCCUCAAAAUUUAGCGAAGAAUUCUCCAUGCCCGAAGAAAUAUGACCAUUGUUCAAAUGUCCUUGUACAAAUGCCUCACCAUGCUUCAUUUUAACAUUAAAACUAAGUGUUUCAACUUUGGAAAUGGCAAAAACCCGGUUCCGCCUUUGCUUUUGGAACCCUUUAUGCUUUUUAAAAUCUACACUGUCGGCAGAUUGAACAGAAAAAGAAACUUUGCAGCCCACAUGAACUUUCCUAAUAGCCCUAGCCCUAGCUAUAUCCCCAGCCCCAGCACUGAAAGGACCAGUAUUUCUACAGCUUUCUCGAGUGAAAUGUUGAAAUGAGCAAAACCCUUCGUGGGCAUGAUUUGCUGGUACUAUAACAUCCAUAUUUUCAGCUUCAAACGUAUAUUAAUGAUAAAAAUUUCAUGCUUCCACAACAAAAGUGUUUUAGAGAGGGUUUUGUAACACAACAACGAUAAUUUAUCAAAGAGGUUAAAUAAAUGAAUAUAGAGAGAUAAAGCUUACUCUGAGACUCUUGUUAAGAAGUGAAAGAUGGAGAAGCUACAGGGAGAAGAGUGCCACUGCCGCCAAGGCCUUGUUUCUUAUCCUGUUUGUGUUUUCUUUGGUUCUAUAACUAUUGCUACUGUGCGGUGGAGGCCGACGACUGGCCGAGCAUUCUAUGAAGUGACAACGACAUUUCAGCAAAGUCAUUCAAUAAAGUACGCCUAAUUAGAUUAAUUGGACCGGUUUAUUUUGUGGGCUCGAUUGAUUGGCGCACGAAAACCCAUUUGAUAAAACUCUGGUCUUUGUGGGCCGUGUGCUCAAUUUCAAGGCAGCUCAUAUGAGAUUGUACAUUCAAUAAAUUCUGAUGUUUCUUUUUUUUUCCAAAAAAAAAACGUGUUUCAUUACAUCCUAACAGAUUAUCAUAAAAAUUAAAUUUUCAAAAUUUAAUGGUGAGUUUAUUUAAUUAAUGGUUUAAUGAUUAGUUUGGUGAGUUUAAACAAUUAUACUAUUUUGAAAAAUAAAAAAAUGUACAAAUUAAAUUUUUUAAGUACAAAUAACCAUAUCCUUUAUGAAAGUAGCAUACCUACUAUUUUUUCCUUACUCUGAUAGCAGAAAAAUAAGCAAUUAAGCAUCCUAAUUUCUAAACAUAACUGCAUAUAAGUAAUCUAUCACUUAAAGAUAAUGACGGAAAAUAAUUCAGCACUCAAUUCGUAAGUGAGUCAAAAGGAGAGGAAAGUGACUUGUUGCCAAUAUGUUUUUCGUUCAUAGGUAGGUAAUACGUCGGCAAUUGUUGGGUCGAUACGCAGAAUGUUGCGAAAUUACCCGACAGUAAACUUAAUUGGUGCUAACCGGGCGACAAGUGUGUUAGGCUCUAGAAGCAAAAGUAGGUAGCCAUAUUACGUACUCGAUAUAUAUUGAAUAGAUUCAAUGUACAAUCUUUGAAACUUGUUGCCACAAAAUCUUUCUCAAAGCUUCUUAAAAUUUAGAAAGCUUGCCUCUUUGAUCGAAACACUUUGACACGUGCAUGCUAGUUCUAUUAUGCUUCAUGUAAUCUUCGUAUUUUAUUUGAUUUGGGUUGCCAUCCACAAACCGGUGGGGUUUGUUAGGCGUUUAAUUUGUUGUCGUUUUUGGGAGAUGUUCUAGGAGAGGUGCUGUUAACCAAGAUAAUUUAUUAGAUUUGGGUUGCCAAUUUCGUGUGGACUAUCUCUCUUUUUUUUUAAUAAAUUUUUGUCUCUUUUAAGUGUAUAUACAAUCUUUGUUAAAAAGGAAAGAAAAAGAGUGUAUAUUUUAUUUCCAGCAUCUGUAAAAAAUUAUUUUAGAACACUAACCAAAGGUCUAUCCUUGUUAUUAUUCAAGGAAAUGAAUUAUUGAAGAAAAGAGUUUUUGAAAACAAGUUUUUGUUUCGAACAAAAAUAUUAGGAAUGUAAUAAAAGUUUUUACUAAUGUUCUAAAAGUUUAUUUUCAAACAUGAUCUCUAUUAACCUGUUUUUUGUCGAUAAUGUGUUGUUGAAAAAAGUUUUAGGCAUGAGUAAGGAGUUUUAAAGUGUUUUUGUCGGCAUGAUUUUAGAAUCAGUUUGAUAAGCUUUCAAAAGUUAAUUUUUACUAGGACAACUGUUUAUUUCAUAAAUUUAUUGGGAUUUCCGAUGGUUAACUCGAAUGGGAAUUACAUAAGUCUAUAUUGUUGGUCUAACAAACCAAGUAAAAGUCAUCCCUUCCUCUUUAAAAUAACUCUUUUCUCUUUCGUGGUAUCAUAGCACCUCUUUGUUUUUGUUUGAAAUAUAUUUUAUAUAAGUAGUUAUGAGACAAAUUUCGUCUAGUUCAUGAUAUAUUUUCAUAAUUGAUAAAUUUGAUGAUAAUUUUAAUAGUUUUGAUAAAGAUUCAUAUGCUAUUUUAGAAAAGGAUUAUUAUCUUGGAUACAAAAUAAUCCUUGCAUAAAAAUAUUAGAACAUGCUUUAUCGUAGAAAUUGAAUUAGCAAAUAUUAGUAUAAAACAUUCAAUUUUAGAAUUAUACGUAUUCAUAAAUAGAGUUGAAAGAUUAAAUUUAAAUAGCCUUAUUUUAGUACCUAAAAAAGUAAACAUAAAAGAUAUUUUAAGACCUAAAAUAAUAUUAAAAGGUAAUGAAACUAAUAAGAAAUAGCUGUAUAGAUGUUAUUAUAGCAGAAAAAUAGAAAAUCAUUGUCAUCUUUAAGUAAUGGUAAAGAAAUUAUGGAAAAGACAAAAUAUAUGAUAGAUGAAGAAGAACCAAGUAGAUUAUUAAAAAAAGGUUUUAACCAAACCGAUUUAUUUCUUCAUUACAUUUCUCUCACUCUAUCUUUAAUUGAUUACCAAAAUUUUAUUAAGACACGUGUCUUAAUGAACCUUAUUCAAUUAUUUCAUCUCUAAUGAUAAUUUCCUAAUUGCAAUUUAGCUACUAUGUAAAUAAUGACAUCAAUCCUUAUCCUUAAUAUGCAAUUUCCCUGAGCCCAAAGUACUUAGACGCAUGCGUAGAUAAUUGGUGGGAGAGAUACGCAAUCGACGUUAUAUGAUAAUAACAACGGUAUAUCACCUGAUAUCUUACUCUCCAAUAAUAUCUCCACACGUGUCAUAAGAUUGGACCAAAUUGUCUUGAUAAUGACUUUGUUAUCUUAUCUACUAGACCUUGUUAGCUCCAAACUCUGUUUCACGUGAUCUUAAUAAUUUAACCACCAUCUUUUCAUAAUUUUUAGUGAAUCAUUUUGUUGAAAUAGAUUCUCUCACUUUACAAUCAUCCUACAAAAUAUCUUCGUUACAACUGCCAUGUGUCACAACCUUAAGCCAAUGCUAAAAAAUAUCUUCGUCCUUGCAUGAUAUUUUAAUCGCGAGAAUUAUAAAGUACAUGCUGCCCAAAAAUUUGACACGUGUCCUUGACAGGUAGGCCACCUUCCUUUCUCUGUACUUUUCUUUUCUGUUUUCACUUGAUUUGUUUUCAAUUAAGUAAAGUACUUUCUUUCCGCGAUGCCUUCAAAGGCUGAUUACAAAAAUGAGCCUAUAACAGUUGAGAUUUACAAGAACUAGACGCGACGUUAGGAAAUUGGAUACGUGUUCCCUCUCAAUUUGCGGGAAAAGACACGUACAAAGACCUAAUAUUUGAGUGAUUGUAGGUGAUUCUGCGUGGUCAAAUAGUAGACUGCUACGUGUCCCAGUAGGCUCGUCCAAUGUUUUUUUUCUUUUUCACGUUUGGCGCCGUUAGUUUUCGAAACAGGACUACACUUUGAUGGCUUGGCUUAAGCCGCUCGGCUCUUUGAGCCAUUCAGGAAUACAUUAAUGAACAGAGAAACUAUUUAUAAUUGCACAUUUAUAUUCAAUUAAAAAAACGAAAAAAAUUAUUAAUUUAUGAUUGAUGUCAUUUUUAGAAAGUAGUCAUACAUAAUUUUUGAACGAAGUUAAAAAUACUAAAAAAAAAGGUAUAUUAACUUACAAAAUGCCUACCAAACAUCAAGUAAAAUAACAUAAUUUUUGUCCAAUUUUAUAUUUUUACAUAUCAUUUAACACUAACUUAAAAAUAUCAAAUCAACUGUUAAUUCAUUUCUUAGAGAUUGAAUUAUUAUAUUCAAUAAAUUUAGAAAAAAAUUCUUUCAUUUCAUAGAAUAAAUAUUUUAUAGUUAAAUUUUUUAUAACUUAUUGAUUGAUCUAUUAUUACAUAUCAUAUAACUUUAAUUUAAAAAUAUCAAAUUAAUUAUUAAUUUAUUUCUUAAAAAUUGAAUUAUUUUGUUCAAUGAAAUGAGAAAAAAAUUUUACAGUUCAUUUCAUAAGAUAAAUAUUUUAUAGUUACAUAUUUUAUUAUAACUUGUUGAUUCAUUUACUAUUGCAUAAAAGAAUUUUUAAAAGUGAAAAUUUUGUUUAUAUUUUAUACAAGAAAAAAUGAGAAGGAAUGUGGGUGCUUUAUAUGUUAUAUAUAUUUUAAAAAAAUUAAUCCAAAAAAUUAGAGAAAAAAAGAGGAAAUGAGCAGUUCACAAAGUCGGAAGGUCGAGUCCAGUCCAAGACCCGCUAGACCAAGUGAAAUUAUUUAAAUUAUUGUUUGAUAUGCUGAAACAGCAGCUGUCCCAAAAAUUCAGAAAGCGGUUUAUGAGAAUCCGAAACCCUAGGCAUUCAACAGCAAAUUAAAAAAAAAAUCCCAAAAUCAAAAUUACAGCGAUUGAUUACGUGUGAAGAUCAGGUGGGGGCAUCUCCAGUGUUUUCUUAUAUAUACUCUUUCGCAGAUAUUUUUCGUGGCUCUCUCACCCUCCCUCUCUGUCUCUCUCUUUCUCCUCUCUCUCUCUCUCUCUCUCUCUCUCUCUAUAUUUCUAGUAACAAUUUCAUUGUCUCAUUUGAAGAAGCAGAUCCAUUGUCAUCUAGUUUCACGUUUCAUUUAUUUUUUCAGCUCCCUUUCUUCGUAAAUUUUGAUCUUGGCGUUCAUCAUAGAUUUGCAUUUUUGUGAAUUUACGUUUGUGUUUCGGAAUCUUUGAGCUUACUUUCUCGCUUAACGCCGGUUCCUUUGAUCUAAUUUGUUGCUCGAAUCUCUUGCGAGCCUUCAUUUUGAGGUAAUUUUCCAUAUUUAAAAUGUUUCCGUACAUUUUUCUUUGGAACAAAAUGUGUUUCUUCUGCAAUUUGCUUUGUAUUUGUUUGGUUGCUGAGAAACCUUCAAGGAAAAUGUAGGCGCAAAGGAAUCUGAUAACUUAUUAGUCAUUUGAAACCAAUUUCAAACUCUUAACGGUCAUUGGAUUCAAAGUUACUGGUUCUUAACCGAUAUUUCGCAAAAUCAAGCGCAGUGUCAUGGUUUAUAGUUAUGUCGUUGGAUUUAUUGCACUUCUUUUUGUUAUCGUUUUGCAGCGUUUACUUUCCUCAUCUGAUUUCCUUUUUAUUUCGUUAUCUUAGAUACUUGUUAGACGAAGAGUGGAGUUUGAUUGGAGGAAGAUGUGCAUUUGGCUUUCAGGUGAGACAUGAUUCUUCCUUUUCUUUAAGUUUCUUUCCUACUUGCUUUUGUUUGUUUUGUAUAGUGCUUAGUACAACUUACUUUAAAGCUUGUUGGGACUUCUUUGAAAAUUUUUAUUGAAUGCACUCAUUGUUAUUCCACAGGGAUGUGAAUGUAUGUCAGAUUGAACACGUUUUUGCCACAGUAUUUAACUUUUCAUUGGCUGAUAUUGCAUCAGAUUUGUACCACUAUCAUAUUAUAGUGCUUUAUUGCUGGAAAAUCAUCAUAGUUGUUCCUUCUGAGUUUCAUAAAUUAAUUCAUGGUUCAUUCAACAAGCAUAUCACUAAAAAUCACAUAAAAUAUUGUGAUGAACAUUAUGCUUGUCUGGAUAUAAUUAAUUUGCGAACAAUUAAAUAAGUCGUUUCUUAGGGAAGUUAUUAACUUUCAGCAUUUGUGGUUCAUCAUUAAGUAUUUAAUUCAAAAUUACCCGUGUUUCCUUAUUUUUAAAAAAUAGAAGAAAAGUGUGGAAUAAAUUUUUUGUGGUGCUUCUAUAGUGGGCAUCGUACAUUAUUUGUGCUUAAUUUUGAAUAUAGAAAUUUUAUUUACUUUAGUAUUUACUAACAUAUAUGUAAAGUAAUAAUCUAGCGGGCAACUUAUAGUGAGUGACAUUGCCACAUGGCUCUGUCCGGUUAAUCCACAUCUUCAGCACUCUUAAAGAGUUACGAAAUUGUACCACGUAUCUAGGUACUCACUAUGUGUAGGCGCUAAAUGCUCAUCAGAUCAUAUUCAUGCCCAGAUAUGUGUGUGUGUGUGUGUGUAUAUAGAUGGUGUGUGUGUAUCAUUUUCAUGCGCUAAAUGCUCACACACACACAUAUAUAUAUGUAUAUAUAGAUGGUGAGUUGUUAGAGAAUAGAACAAGUUGUAAUGAAUAAGACAAUGAUGCUUCUUCUUGUUGUUAAGUCUAUAUGUAUGCGUUCUUUAUGCAACUUCUAGGGCGUAUUAUCCAAAAUAUUAUUUUUCAAAUAGAACUAGAUCAAUCGUGCAAGCUACCUUGGGUUUAUAAUUACAAAAUUUUCAAACAAUGUGUAGUAGAAAGCAAAUGAAAGGUUCGAUUAGGCUUGGUAUUUGUGCCAUGAUGGAAAUGCUAUUAUGAUGAAAUAGUACUUUUCAUAAUGGUUUACCAUGCAUGUUGGAAUGAAACAAUAUAGAUAAGAGAUUAUGUAACAAUUUUUUGGUGAUCUAAAAAGACAUUUUGGUUUAGACUUUAGAUCAAUUUGUUGCAAUGAGUUUUGGACGUUAUGCAUGGUUGGCUUAGAGUUUGGCCAAAAGAUGAUAUUUUGGUGAGAGAGAAGGAAAAAUAAAAUAUAAAAACCCCUCUCCUAAUAACCUUUUGUAGAGAUGCAUGAUUUGGGAAUGUGAUCAAGUUUAAAAUUGAAGCUUUUAUUUGUGAAAUUUGAGAGCAUCAUUUAUGAAAAUUGAUUUGACAUUUUCAUAUACAACUGCUUCUUGGAACAUUGAAAAACAUUGUAGGAGAAGGUGUCGAUGGUAAUCCUUGUUAGGUUUCUCAGAUAUAAUACGGCGUUAGAGUGAACUCCUAACCUGAUGGUGUAGAAUAUUGAGCCUCAAAAGAAUAUAAGGCUUGAUGGGAAGAUUUUCACAUCCUUUAUCACUAUUGUACUAAAGAUGAGCACGGACAAAUAUAUAUGUUUUGGAUGAAAAAGGCUUGUUUGAAGUAUAAGGUAAAACAUGCAUGCCUGGAGAAAAAAGGAAGAAUAUUUUCUCGGUUGAAGUUUUGUCUUUACACAAUUGUAUUUUCAUUUAUGGUGACAUAUUUUACGGAUAAAAGCAUUUGAAAUUGAAAUGAUAGUUGUUCUCUUUCUUAAUCCACAUGUUUGGGUUAAUGCAGUAUUCAUAUACUUACCCUCUUACAGAGUUGAAAUUGAAAUUGAGAUGAUAGUCACAUUUUUAUAUUUGCGCUUAACAGCAAGGCAAUCUUUGGAGUAUUGGAGCAUGGGUGCAAGUUCAUGCACAAGAUGAACAUUACUAGUGCGAACUCCUAGGCAUGUAUAAAAGACUAAGGUUGACUUGAAUAGGCUCAAGGCCUUUUAGGUGCAUUGGCUUCGUUCUUAGUCAAAGCUUUCUUUGCCUGAUGCUUGUUGGGUUGAAGAGCUUGAAAUUAAAAUUGCAAAGAAAAGUCUAUUGAAAGUUGAUAAUAUCAUGCAUGGUAGGAGCCGGUCAUUAAAUGAGUCGGGUUUUCAGAAUUUUGUUUACUCAAUUGAAAUUUUCGUAUCAAUUGAGAAGCCAAGUUGAUUAUAGUGUCAUAUCCACGUCUAGUCUUGAAUGUUUAUGAUUUAAUAGAGUAUGGUAAAACAAAAUAAUUUAUGUUGGAAGCAUUGAGAGUGAGGAGUUUCAAAUUCUAAGAAGGAAAUACAUAGAAAUGAAUUUCAUUUUUAGUAAAUCUAUUCACUAUCAAUAAUCGUCCCAUAUUAGAUGUGGGCGUUAGAGGUAGAGCUGGCAAAAUUUGACAAUACCCAAUUACCUGACACGAAUACGACACGAAUAAAUGGGUAUGGGUCGUCAAAUUUGAUACGAUUAUUAAAUGGGUCGGUUCCGAGUCAACACAAUUUUUUUCGGUGUCGGGUUAGGGUUAAAAUUCUUGACCCAUGUACCCAAACAAUGACAAUUAUAUUUUCUUUUUUAAAUUAGUUUCUAGGUUCUUGUCAUUAAAAAUCAAAUAUUGGACAUGAUUCUCUCUUUUUAUUUUUAUUUUUGGAAGGGUAGAUAUAUACACAGUGUUUUAUUUUUAAAAUUUUAUAUAGAUUUAGAACUUUAAUAGUGUAAAUAUACAAAAUAUUGGUACACAUGUAUACUUUAUGAUAUUGAUUUAUAGUAUUAUUUACAUAUAUAUAAUUAAAAACUAUAAUAGUGUAAAUGUGUAAUAUUUUGGGGUGUGUGUAUAUGUUGGGGGGUGUAUGUAUAACAUUUAUUAAAAAUAUAGCUAUUAAACGAGUUGUUAGGUAACACGCUUAUUUUUUUGUGUCAGGUUUGGGUCUCAAUAUUUUGACACGAUUAUUAAAUGGGUCGGGUUUAGAUCAAUCUGAAUUUGACACGACACGAACCCGACCUGACGACCUACUUUGCCAACUCUAGUUAGAGGAUUGAGAGGUUUAAAAAUGUCACUUUAUUAACUGACAUGGAAUGUGUAAAGAUAAGGUUGUUGAUGGAUGUUUACUUGUGAUAGUUUGGGUAUUGUUGCCAUGUUAGUGCUUGGAACAAUGUAAGAAAUAAGUGAAGUGAUGUCAUGAAGGAUAUAAUACUUUAGUGGGAGACAAGAAUAGUUUUCAAUUAUUUCGAAGAAAUAUGCAAUAUGCAAGUAAUUUGUAUUCGACUAAAGUUCACAUCCCUUGUAAGAGAUUAGCAAUUUAUUUCCCUUUUUUUACAUAAGGUGUGGAACAUGUAGGAAUAGUCAUUAUUGGAGUUUUUUUAAGAACUGUUAAAAAUUCUUUGAGGUGAAGUCAUGUAAAGAUUUAUCAAUAAUGAGUCAACAAUUACUCCUUUUCUAGUGUGUAUAGAAACAUGGGCCUUCUGAAAAGUUUCCUUAUUAAUAGGACUUUAUAACACAAAUUAAGUUAAAAUUUAUUCAGUAAUUUUUGUCUGCGCUGGUUUGGUUGAAAUGGAUAAAACACUUUUCUUGAAAAAGAAGUUGAAGUGCAUUUGUGGACGCCAAAUGUUAUCAAUAAUAUAUGUAGUUGAUAGGUAAAAGCUGAAUAAUGGUAUUAAAGUUUAAACAUAGGUAAGAGCUCAAUAAUAACGUAUGCGCCAGUUUAGUUGAAAUAGAUAAAACACUUUUUCUUGAAAAAGAAGUUGAAGUGCAUUUGUGGAUGCCAAAUUUUAUCAAUAAUAUAAGUUUAAGUUGAUAGGUAAGAGCUCAAUAAUGGUAUUAAAGCUUAAGCAUAGGUAAGAGAUUUAAGUUGAUAGGUAAGAGCUUGAAAAUGGUAUUAAACCUUAAACAUAGGUAAGAGCUCAAUAAUAACAUAUGCCCCAGAUUGGUUGAAAUAGAUAACAUAUGCCCCAGUUUGGUUGAAAUAGAUAAAUUCCCUUGAAAGAUGCCAAAUGAUAUCGAUAAUAUAAUUUUAAGUUGAUAGGUAAGAGCUCAAUAAUGGUAUUAAGCCUCAAACAUAUAUUUUUCCUGGAUAAGUUAGAUGUAGUCAAUAGGUUUGUCUUGUCAAAAGUGUAGGCUCAACAACAACGAAAAUACAUCACAAACCAAUUUGUUUCAACCUAUGUAAUAUAGUAGGGGGAUUUGAUGCAAAUUCCUUGGUUAAAUUGCCUGUAAUAUUAGCUUAAAUUACCAUUAAGCUGAAAAAUUAUACUGGAAAAAGGUGUAUUAAAGUAUCAAUUUUCAGUGCUGGUGAGAAUUGGUAACAUUCCUAAUGUAGUUUACAAUUGAUGAUCAACAUUAAUGUCAUUGGCAUAGGCAUUGCCACUGUUAGCACUGUGGCAAUUUUGAUUUCAACAUUACUACAUUCAGUUUGUCUUGCCAUGCUCAUUGUUGAUGCCGGUUAUACUAUCUCUGUUACCACAAUAGCAAAAGUAUAGUAACUGCACUAUGUAAGUUCAAUCCAUAUGAUUUAGUUUAGCUUUAGUUAGUGAUCAUAUGAUUAAGUUGAAGCUAUAGAAUAAAAACCUUUCUAAACUUAUUUGGUGCAUUAUUUACACAAUGGUUUAGCUUAGUACAUUAAGCUUCUCAUAUUAGUUGGACCUCCCUAGUUAAUAGUUUAAGCAUGUGGGUUGGAUAUCUUGAUAUAUGGUGCCUGCAUUUGUGUGGGUAUAUCUUUCUAGUUUAAUUAUUUUUUAGUACAUGUAAGGCCCAUUUUAAUGUCAAUUUUUACCACAGUGCUAUAAGUAAGUUCUAAUAUCUCAUAUGGUUUAUGCAUGUGGGUUGGAUAUCUUGAUAUGCAGUAUCUUCUUUUUGUGUUGUUAGAAAUCUGUGGCCCAUUUUAUAUAUACCAUAAUGAUGUAAGUUUUCAUAUCCAAGAUAGUUACUGAUCCUUAUUGACCCUUUUAUCUUAUAGAUUAAGCCUUCUGCUUCGUAUAUUAAGAAUCAUGUCAUGUUCUUUAAUCCAAAAGAUUAAGUAGAGAAAUUUUCUAUUAGAUUAAAUGAAAGUGGGAGCUUGGUGCAAAUGCAGAUCCAUUUACCUUGCAUUUUGGUAUAAUGAGAAGUAAGCUGCUUUGUCAGAAGGUAAAGUCCAUGAGAAUAACUGAAAGGUCUUGGUGCAGCAGCAUGUCAUUGUCCUUGAUUUUUGGAAAAAUAGGAAGUAGCCUGUUUAUGCCUUAGAAUAAAUAGGGAAUAUGGUAAGGUAAAUAAGACACUGCAUGGUAGCUUGAUAUGAUUAAACAUCAAGUACCUUUGUGCUUACUGUGUGAUAUGAUUUUAGUUAACUUUAUCUAUCUCCCAAUAUAGCUUCAUUGAAGUUGACCGUACUUUGUCUGUCUAUCCUUGAACAUACUUCUAGUUUGAUUCUUGAUUCACUUUGCAGAGUUAGAGUUUUUAUUAUUAUUUAGCAUUAAUCUAAUCAUCAUUUUGAGAAAGGUGCUGCUGGUAAGUCAUCAAGAUAUAAUAGUUCAAUACAAAGCUGUGUAUAUGGGCUACACAGACAUUAAAAUGAGUAUAUUUUGUUACUAGGUAUUUACAAUGGAAUUGGAAUAAAGCAUACAAAAAGUUGCAUAAAAGAAUUGCAACAGGCUGAUUGAAUAUGAUAACUCAUUGUAAGGCUCUAUUAGCUCUCUUCCAUUUCUUUUCCUCAAACUGAGAUUGAGGAUUUCCAUUUCUAUUUCCCUUUUUUCCCCCUCCUCUAUAAUGCCUUUUAUUUUUUAUUUUAAUCUAACACAUGCUAUAUUAGUUUUCUGAUGUUCGGACUUCAAAUCUUAAGGAAUUCAAGUCAAAUCAGCCUGUUUCUAUGAGUAAAAGAUUCAGAUUUUUGAGUGUUUUUCAAUUGUUUGAAUAUUUUCCAAUUCUAUGAUGACAAGUGGCUAACUUAACUCAGCCAAGUCUUAUUCAAAUUAAAAGAAUUAUGUUCUUGCUAUCUAUCAAAAUGUUUGACAUCUAUUGUGUUGUUGCAACCCUUCUCCUUUAUCCGGGCUUGGGACCGGCUGUGUAUGCAAUUAUGCAAGGGUAGAUACACAGGCGGAGUUAUUGCAGCAUAAAUUUAAAUUUUGCAUUUCUAGUUUGGGUCUUUUGUAACCAAAUUGUGUAUGUUUUUUCAGUUAUUUUGCUAGAAAUUUUAUUUUGGAUGCUCUUAAGUUUUCUUCCUUUGGAAAUUAAUUCUUAAACUUCUUGCAGAAGUUACCUUUUUUUCAUUUUCUUUUUUAGUAUAUUUUAUCUUUGUUGUCAAUAGGUGAGCUACAUCUGAAAGUUAAAUACGCAUCAUGAACUUCUCCAGCACACUAUAUGAAUCGUUUCAUCUGUUUGUAGGCAAUGAAUCCAAAUAAAGUGGUGAUCUGAAGAUUGACCAUUAUAUUAGUCUUUACUCCUGACUUCAUCAACAACUUUAAUUUGAUUAACUUUUGACUGUACAAACUGAAAAUUUUAACAUUUUCUAAAAUUAUAUUAUUUAAAAAAUUGACACUCUUUAAUGUUUGGGUAAUAUCAGUGUGUUUAGAAUCAUCUUGACAUUAUUCUGGCUUAUUAUGCAAGUAUUCCAGGUUGAAACAUAUCCUUUAUUUUUUCCUGUUCUUUUUAUCCCUUAAUUUAGAGCUGAAUUACAGUUGUUGCAGUGAGAAUUUGCUACAUUACUUUUGCUGCUUCCCAAAAGAACACCUUUUUCUUCUUUUCUGGGAACCUUCAAUGGUGAACUAUAUGUGUCAGCUUUUAACCCUGAACAUGCUUUGUCCCAGUAAUACAUGCUAAUUUGUGUAACAUGCUCUAUGAAUAGUGGAUUGCAAGUUAUGUUGUUGAAAUAGACCAGCAGAGUCUUAUGUUUGUUUCACAUUACAGUUUUCUGCAUCUGUACACUAGGCGUAGGGAGGGCAGACCACUUUUUUAUUUUUGGGACUUAAUACCACUCUAUUUUAAUAUAACAUGCAAGUAAGGAUUUUACAUAUUUUUCUUUCUUCCUCUAUCAAUUUCUAUUAACAAUUUUUUGUUUUCUGGAAUCUAUAGUUUGUCUAUCCAUUUAGUUGUGCACAUAUCCUUCUUUACUUUUAUUUUGAAAGAAAAAGUACGUGAUGAGUUUAUUAUUCAUUUCCUUUAUUUUAGUAAUUUUCUUAUCAGUUUAAAUGCAGUUCUGGCAAGUGUUGAUAGGUCUUAUUAUGGUAACACGGGCUGAGAGGUAAGUUUUUGUUUCUGUUCAUGUGUGUUAAAAGGGAGGCAAAAUGAAGAAUGAUAGACUAGACACUGUUAGGUCUGUAAUCUUAGUUGAUUGAAUUUGGUUGAGCUCCCAAGCAACAAUGCCUGAGAGUUUGUCUCUCUAUAUAUUUCUCCAAUUAACUGUUUGGUGUUACCUUUUUAUUAGAGCAGAUCAAUAAGUAUGUUUAAUCUUUUUUUUUUAACUUUAAUUAAAUAAAAAAAUGUAUACCUUCGUUUCACUUGUCUAUUUCAAGGACGAAAACUCCUAAAAUAAAUUCAUGGUGCAAUUUCAUUUUUCUUUAUUACACUUAAAAUCUUAUGUUUACAUUAAUAGCUGGUUUCCUUCACCAUCACACAUGUGCUCAAGUUAAUUUUUUCAAUAAUAUGAAACCAAAGUCUUGAAACUGAAAGGUCCGUGGUUUACAUACCACAUCUCACUAAUAGAAGCAUAACCCUCCCAACAUCGACUCAAGUCAAUUAUCUGCAUGCUCACCUUAUUGAAUGUUCUUCACUAAUGCAGUUGCAGUCUGCUGUAUUUAACAAGGAAACAUUUCUGAUUAAAACCAUGGCAACAUCAGAAUUCAAAAUAAAAGUACCACUUUGCAGGGAACUGUACCCCAACUUUGUUGCUCUCGCUGGAGUCUCGUGCUGUGGCUGGCUAAGUUGGAGACGAACAGGUAUGUGCGAGUCCUCUCCAAUCCCUAUAUUGUUUGUGUGAAGUGGAUUUCUGUUUGAUCCAUUCAAAUCCCUUGUUCCAUAAACCUGGGAUGUGAAAUUUUUCUGUUGAGGAUGGCUUUAAAACAUCCAUCAAUAUGUCAAAGUUUAAAUCAUACUACUCUUUCAAGGUUGAUUAAGCUUGUGUUAGUUAUUUAAACCUGUACCUUCGUAUACAAUUCCAUGUUUUCUUGACGAAUUAGGUUUACCUUCUUAUAGAGUUCCACAUUUUCUUGGUGAAUAAGGUUCCCCUGCAACAAGGCCAAUGAAUUAGUAACUUGAAUCUUUUAAACCAAAAAGAUUGGCUACUUGAAUUGAAAUUAUAUGAUGGUACAUCAGUAGCCAUUGAUUCUGGGAUUCACCUUUCGGCUUAAUUCUUGUAUUUCGUCCAUUAAAAUUUGGUCCUGUACAAUAGAAAAUGUAAGUAACAUUUAUCUGAUAUAUGCACAGUAAUUGGAAGUUUUACUAAGCACUGCAUGGUGACAUUGAAAGACUUUUAAACCUUUUUCAUUCGAACACCUCGAAGACUCAUUUCCAAUUGAUUCUCCAAAUUCUGCAAGUCUUUUACACUCAAACCAGAAAGCUCUUCGCCCAUCAUUUGCCUGUUUGGACAUAUACCAUAGGCAUUUGAAUUUGUAUCUUUGAUAUUCCAUAACAUGUUUAUAGGGUAUGUUAAUGAGAUGCAAUUGAUUUGCUUCACACAACAAUAUACAUUGUGGUCUUCGGGCAUUUUUGGUGUCAACAAAUGCUAAGCUUUAGGCUGUACUAUUUCAGUUUUUCUACUACGAGCUAUUCCUUUGACUUUUAAGGUGGCCCAUCUAUCGAAAGCAUAUACCUGGUAAGUUCUUCAUUCUCUUCUCUGCUAAUUUUGUAGCUAGGGCUGGUCAAUUUGUUGCUGUCACGUCAUGUCAUAUAAAAUCUAAAUCCAUUUGUAGUACAACUAUCAUUUUAUACAUCAUAAGAUAUACUAGCUCAGUGUGCCAAAUUCAGUCUGAAGAAUAUGAAUUUGGAACUGUUCAAGUUUACUGACCUGAGUUUACUUGAUGCGAACCUAAAUAAUAAUGCUUUCAGGGCAGUCUUAGAGGCUUCAUAGCUUGAGGGUUGAAAGCUGAGACUAGAUGUUCUAAAAGUGAAUUUUUCCACAAGUCUAUAUUAAAAUUUUUCCUAGUUCACUUUGAUAAUCUGUGACUCUUGGCUGUCAUGUAAAGUUCUUGAAAUGGGACAUUAAGUUGAUAUUACAAGAUUCUUCAUUCUGAGGUUUUAAAAGUUUCUCCAGUCUAGAGUAAAAGAAUAAAAGGGUGUGUCAUAGAAAGAUAAAUACCAGUGAAAUAUAUAUUCCUCAAAUCUAAUAUUUCAUAAAUAAAAGAAAUUUUGGAUAGUUGACAUAUGAAAUUUAAGAGCAUUCUGAUGUCUUAAAAUUUAUUAAAUGUUAAAGCAAAAAUAUAUUAUAUAUUUUCAUUUGUGUGUAUUAAUGGAUAAUAUAGAACAAUUUAAAAGAGGUAUUUUUGUCGUACAAUAUCCCCAUCCCAUUCCAUUGAAGAUUCCAUGUUUUAACCAAACAUUGGAAACCUUUACCUUCAAUCCAUUCCAUUUCCCUCUCAUUUCCAAUAUUCAAACCAAACAUCACGUGUAACAACAACAACAACAACAACAAAACUUGGGAAAUUGCACAUUAUGCAACUUGGGUUGGGAGUUGAUUCAUUAAAUUGAAGGACAAGAUUUUUUAGAGUCGUUUUCAUUUCUUGCCUAAGAAAAGAAUAUUGGUUUGGUACUUUGGUUGUAAUAUUGGGUUGGGUUGCUGUGUUAUGGUAUAAUAGGCUGCUUUUGCAACUGCAACAGGUGGUUUCACAGAAAAAGACAUGCAUAUAUUUACAAAUAUAUUGAACAUGCCCAUCGAAGAAUAAAAGAUCAUCCGAAGUGUUAUCAUUUCAGUUAAGCGUAAUAUAAACGACAAAACAUGAAACGUGUCAGUAAGCACUAAUGCAAUGCAAGGAAAUGACAGAAAAGUAAUGGUAUUAUGAUAGACGCUGGUUGAAAAUGUUGAUGUACAUAUUCUCUCUAUCUUUUUUGGGUGGAAAACAUUAAGUUUUUGAAAAAUGAAGUCAGAAAUGUGAACAGAGGUGUCAUAUCUGUCAACUUUCAACCAUUAACAUUAUUAUCAUUGAUUGACCUCCAGGUCAAAUAAAUUUUGCUUUAAUAAAAUAUAAGAAUCAUACCGAUGAUUUUCUUGCAAAUUUUGCAACUGUUGUCUCAAUGCAGCUGCCUCCUGUUGCCAGAACUAGCAUGUAUAUACACAAUAAAUUAGAUUCUAAGACACAUUUAGUCCCAAAAAAAAUAUUAGUGAUCAAUUUCUCAAUUUGAGUACUGUUCCACAUUUGACUACUGUUUGGUAGUGUAUCUGGUGACACACUUAGUGAUCAAUUGAAUUUAGGAAUAUAGUCUUUGUUGUUGCUGCUUCUAAUCUUAUUAAGGUGCUCUUUUUUAAGUCUUUUUAUCCAGCAUGAGCUAAAUAUAUGUAUGUGAACCGAUGGAGCAAUCAUGCCUCGAGUUUUCCUUGGAGGUAAAAUUACGAAUCAAAUUUAAGAGUUAAAGAGUACCUUGACUUCAGAGGCAGGGUUGCCUAGUUGAUGAUGUUCCUCUUUUGAUUUGUUGUAUCGCUCAAUCACCGAUUUCAUGCUGGUGUAAGAAACAUAUAUCAGAUAUGUGCUUUUGAUGUUUCUUACUAGGUAGAGAAACAAAAUACGACAUCAGAAAUUGCCACACAAAAUGAUGUGUGGAAAAUAUUAACAUGCUGUAUUUAACUGUAUUAUGUAUCUUAGUCUCUGCGUUCUCCCUUUCUCCAGCUUUAAUUUUUGCUGUUCAAGGCACAAGAAGUUUUAAGAUUACAUCACUUAGAGCUACCAGUUGAAGAGAUGUUCCGAGGAAUUUAAAUCUGCAAAUGCAUGUAAUGAUUCAAGCCCAGACCAAAAGAUAAGUUUCCAUUUAUUUUGCUUUACUUGCAUGAUGCAAACUUCAGUCUCAAUAAGUUCGGAAAGUGUUGUCUUUUCCAUUUUGAAUUGUUUACUAACUGAAAUUAGAAAUGUUCCACAGCUUGGCAAUUGAAUGCAAUAUGGAAUCUAUUGCUGUGUUUACUUGCUGGAGUGGGAGUGAGGAGUGUGGAUUCCUCCCACUCCAGCGUUUACUUCCUUAAAAUAGGAAGGGAGUGGGAAUCCCACUCCGUGGGCUCCACCCAUUUUUGGAGUGGGGAGUGGGAGUGGGAGUGGGACUCCCAUUCCCACUCCCAUCUCUCCCUUUUUUACCCUUUUAUUUUUUUUAAUUUAAUAUUUUAUAAUUAAUAAAAUAAAAUAAAUAAUAUUAUGUUUAUUUGAAUAAUAUUAUUAUAUUUAUUUGAAUAAUAAUAUUAUAUUUAACUAAAUAAUAAUUUGCAUUGAUUAUAAGUUAAAAUUAUUUUAAAAUAAUAAUAUUAUAUUAAUAGAGAAUUAAUAAAUAUAAUAUUAUUAUAUUUAUUUUAAAAAUAAUAGUACUAUAUUUAUUUAAUAUUAAUAAUAAUAAAUAGUUUAUUCUAAGAAAAUAUUAAUUUUGUACUAAAUAAUAUUAUAUUAUUAUUUUAUAUAAUAAUAAAUUUAAUAUAAUUAUAUUAAAUAAAAUAAGGUUUCAUUUUAUAUUAAAAUUAAUAAUUUAUUGUUCAUAAUUAAGAAUAUUAAUAAUUAUAAUAAAUUUACAAAUAUAAUAAAAUAAAUAUUAUUCAUUAAAUAUAUUUUUUAUUAGUUUUGUAAUUAAAAACUAUAAUUCUUUAAAUAAGGAUAAAAUUGUAAUUUAAAACUAUUUACUCCCAAUCCAAGACAAAGUAAACACAUAAAUUGGAUUCUGAUCUCUAUUCCAUACUUCCAUUCCAGUGUAAGUAAACAACCUACUCCCACUCCCACUCCACACUCCCAAUCCUAGGAUUCCCAAUCCAAUCCAAAAAGUAAACGCUACCUAUACUAGUUGCAUUUUUAUACAUUGCUACAACUUUUAUUCUCUACUAUCUCCUCCCUCUCCUUCUUCUAGUAGAAUCCUUAACCCUGAGAACUUAAGGAAGCUAGUGUAAAUAGCUGAAAUUCUUCUCUUUUUCAGGGGUUCAUUAUGUAGUACAGAGGAUUCAAAAAC